UGGGGAAUUUUGGACAAUGGGCGAAAGCCUGAUCCAGCAAUGCCGCGUGUGUGAAGAAGGCCUUCGGGUUGUAAAGCACUUUUGUCCGGAAAGAAAUCCUUGGCUCUAAUACAGUCGGGGGAUGACGGUACCGGAAGAAUAAGCACCGGCUAACUACGUGCCAGCAGCCGCGGUAAUACGUAGGGUGCAAGCGUUAAUCGGAAUUACUGGGCGUAAAGCGUGCGCAGGCGGUUUGCUAAGACCAAUGUGAAAUCCCCGGGCUCAACCUGGGAACUGCAUUGGUGACUGGCAGGCUAGAGUAUGGCAGAGGGGGGUAGAAUUCCACGUGUAGCAGUGAAAUGCGUAGAGAUGUGGAGGAAUACCGAUGGCGAAGGCAGCCCCCUGGGCCAAUACUGACGCUCAUGCACGAAAGCGUGGGGAGCAAACAGGAUUAGAUACCCUGGUAGUCCACGCCCUAAACGAUGUCAACUAGUUGUUGGGGAUUCAUUUCCUUAGUAACGUAGCUAACGCGUGAAGUUGACCGCCUGGGGAGUACGGUCGCAAGAUUAAAACUUAAAUGAAUUGACGGGGUC
rnacentral:rRNA from 1 species